rnacentral:rRNA from 1 species
GGAGUUAGCCGGUGCUUCUUCUGCGAGUAACGUCACAGCUAGCAGGUAUUAACUACUAACCUUUCCUCCUCGCUGAAAGUGCUUUACAACCCGAAGGCCUUCUUCACACACGCGGCAUGGCUGCAUCAGGGUUUCCCCCAUUGUGCAAUAUUCCCCACUGCUGCCUCCCGUAGGAGUCUGGGCCGUGUCUCAGUCCCAGUGUGGCUGAUCAUCCUCUCAGACCAGCUAGGGAUCGUUGCCUAGGUGAGCCAUUACCUCACCUACUAGCUAAUCCCACCUGGGCUUAUCCAUCAGCGCAAGGACCGAAGUUCCCCUGCUUUCCCCCGUAGGGCGUAUGCGGUAUUAGCAGUCGUUUCCAACUGUUAUCCCCACAAAUGGGCAAAUUCCCAGGCAUUACUCACCCGUCCGCCGCUCGUCAUCUUCAAAGCAAGCUUUUGAAAUGUUACCGCUCGACUUGCAUGUGUUAGGCCUGCCGCCAGCGUUCAAUCUGAGCCAGAAUCAAACUCUGA